ensembl:snoRNA
UGUGACAGUGAUGAGUUGCACUAUUAGGCGGGCUGCUGGUUGCAGUUGCACAGCGGACCCGUCCUGACAACCUGUGUUGACACACCCAUUGUGCACAGGGGCCAUCUGAGUCACA